CUCCAAAUCCCGUGGGCCUCUGCGAGAUGCUAUUUAUAGGCCACGCGUUGUUCGGUCGGUCUCAUUUUUCCUUGGUUUGGGAUUGAGGUACUUGCUUAAAUGCGAAAGAAUGGGAGUACACUCUCUUUUCAGAAAAUGGUUCAUCUCAAAGCCGUUUACACUUUGGAGCCAAGCCUGUUCCAUUUUACAAAUAGCGCUCUAUGCUGAUAGUCAGGUUACUGUGACAACAUGAAGACUUCAAACUACCUCCCAGGAUGAUUGCAGGUUUUCCUGGUGGUGAAUCUCCAGCAUUCAGAGGUUGUUAGUGGUGGCAUACUUGUUGGUUCAAAGAUAUGAUGCCUCUGCCUGAGAGCAAAAGAGCCAUGUCAGGAAACUUAAAAGCAUAGCUUCAUUCAAGUCCAGGCUAAAAGAAAGGUCCAAGGAAAAGAAUGAGCCGUACAAGAAAGGAGCUGAAAUCAUCAAAGAUCUGAUUGCCCAGGCCAGUGUCAGAACAAAUUCAUGGAAUACAACCUAUUAGGUCACUCUAUGGGUUUUUAGCCCCUGAGUAGUAUAAGUGGCACUUAAAAAAAAGUGGAAAAGUUAAUCUUUUCCAAGCAUUAAUAUUCAUUUCACCGUAAGAGAUCAUUUCAAGAUCAAAUAUGAAUUUUUUAGAAUUCCAAGUUUACCUUUGUCUGUAGGAGCUGAUAUCUGGUUCCACUGUAGUUGUGUGUCCCUUUUGUUCCCAGCAAUAAAUGUUCUUUAUGCUAU